rnacentral:rRNA from 1 species
AGAGUUUGAUCCUGGCUCAGGAUGAACGCUAGCGACAGGCUUAACACAUGCAAGUCGAGGGGCAGCGCGUGCAGCAAUGCAUGGCGGCGACCGGCGCACGGGUGCGUAACGCGUAUGCAACCUGCCGGAUGACGCGGGAUAGCCCUCCGAAAGGAGGAUUAACACCGCAUGAGACUGUCGGUUCGCAUGGACUGACAAUCAAACGCGAGGUCAUCCGAUGGGCAUGCGUCCCAUUAGGCAGUUGGCGGGGUAACGGCCCACCAAACCGACGAUGGGUAGGGGUCCUGAGAGGGAGGUCCCCCACACUGGUACUGAGACACGGACCAGACUCCUACGGGAGGCAGCAGUAAGGAAUAUUGGUCAAUGGGCGUGAGCCUGAACCAGCCAAGUCGCGUGGAGGAUGAAGGUGUUAUGCAUUGUAAACUCCUUUUGCCGGGGAAUAAAGUGGGCCACGCGUGGUUCAUUGCAUGUACCCGGAGAAUAAUGACCGGCUAAUUCCGUGCCAGCAGCCGCGGUAAUACGGAAGGUCAGGGCGUUAUCCGGAUUUAUUGGGUUUAAAGGGUGCGUAGGCGGGUCUUUAAGUCAGCGGUGAAAUCCGGCGGCCCAACCGUCGAACUGCCGUUGAUACUGGAGGUCUUGAGUGCAGAGGAGGCAGGCGGAAUUCGUCGUGUAGCGGUGAAAUGCGUAGAUAUGACGAAGAACACCGAUUGCGUAGGCAGCCUGCCACGGUGCAACUGACGCUGAGGCACGAAAGUGCGGGUAUCAAACAGGAUUAGAUACCCUGGUAGUCCGCACAGUAAACUAUGAAUGCCAGCUGUUUGCGAUACACAGUAAGCGGCCGAGCGAAAGCAUUAAGCAUUCCACCUGGGGAGUACGCCGGCAACGGUGAAACUCAAAGGAAUUGACGGGGGCCCGCACAAGCGGAGGAACAUGUGGUUUAAUUCGAUGAUACGCGAGGAACCUUACCCGGGUUAGAACGCAAGGUGAACGAUGCGGAGACGCAGAGGUCCUUCGGGACACCUUGUGAGGUGCUGCAUGGUUGUCGUCAGCUCGUGCCGUGAGGUGUCGGCUUAAGUGCCAUAACGAGCGCAACCCUUGCCGUCAGUUACUAGCAGGUAAAGCUGAGGACUCUGGCGGAACUGCCAUCGUAAGAUGCGAGGAAGGUGGGGAUGACGUCAAAUCAGCACGGCCCUUACGUCCGGGGCGACACACGUGUUACAAUGGGGGGUACAGAAGGCAGCCAGGCGGCGACGCCGCGCCAAUCCCAAAAACCCCUCUCAGUUCGGAUCGGAGUCUGCAACCCGACUCCGUGAAGCUGGAUUCGCUAGUAAUCGCGCAUCAGCCAUGGCGCGGUGAAUAAGUUCCCGGGCCUUGCACACACCGCCCGUCA